rnacentral:rRNA from 1 species
CCUACGGGCGGCUGCAGUGAGGGAUAUUGCGCAAUGGGGGAAACCCUGACGCAGCAACGCCGCGUGGGUGAAGAAGGCCUUUGGGUCGUAAAGCCCUUUUCUAGGGGAAGAGCAAGGACUGUACCCUAGGAAUAAGUCCCGGCUAACUACGUGCCAGCAGCCGCGGUAAAACGUAGGGGGCGAGCGUUAUCCGGAUUUACUGGGCGUAAAGCGCGCGCAGGCGGCUUGGUAAGUUGGGCGUGAAAGCUUCCGGCUUAACCGGGAGAGGCCGUUCAAAACUACCAGGCUUGAGGGCGGAAGAGGGGAGUGGAAUUCCCGGUGGAGUGGUGAAAUGCGUAGAUAUCGGGAGGAACACCAGUGGCGAAAGCGGCUCCCUGGUCCGCAUCUGACGCUCAGGCGCGAAAGCGUGGGGAGCAAACGGGAUUAGAUACCCUAGUAGUC